rnacentral:rRNA from 1 species
AGAGUUUGAUCAUGGCUCAGAAUGAACGCUGGCGGCGUGGAUUAGGCAUGCAAGUCGAACGAGAAAAUACCUUCGGGUAUGAGUAUAGUGGCGAAAGGGUUAGUAAUACAUGAAUAACCUACCUCCAAGACAGGGAUAACUCGAAGAAAUUCGGGCUAAUACCCGAUGAUAUCAUGUUUCUCCGGAAGCAUGAUCAAACGGUGCAUUUAUAUGUUCUGCUUGGAGAGGGGUUCAUGGCCUACUAGUUAGUUGGUGAGGUAAAAGCUCACCAAGACGAUGAUGGGUAGCCGGGCUGAGAGGCCGAUCGGCAACACUGGGACUGAGACACUGCCCAGACUCCUACGGGAGGCUGCAGUCGAGAAUCUUCUACAAUGCGCGAAAGCGUGAUAGAGCGACGCCGCGUGCGGGAUGAAGGCCUACGGGUUGUAAACCGCUGUCAGAGGCUAAAAAACGUUGGUGUAACAAGCCAACCUGAUGUUAACCUCAAAGGAAGUCAUGGCUAACUUCGUGCCAGCAGCCGCGGUAAUACGAAGGUGGCAAGCGUUAUUCGGAAUCACUGGGCAUAAAGGGCCUGUAGGCGGUUUAUUAAGUCGAUUGUGAAAUCCCUCAGCUUAACUGAGGAAUUGCUGUCGAUACUGGUAGACUUGAGUGUUGGAGGGGUAAGUGGAAUUCUUGGUGGAGCGGUGGAAUGCGUAGAUAUCAAGAGGAACGCCGGAGGCGAAAGCGACUUACUGGACAACUACUGACGCUGAGGGGCGAAAGCUAGGGUAGCAAACGGGAUUAGAUACCCCGGUAGUCCUAGCCGCUAACUAUGAGCACUAGGCGAUGGACGUUCCGAUACGAUCGUCGCUGUAGAUAAUUUGUUAAGUGCUCCGCCUGGGGAGUAUAAGCGCAAGCUUGAAACUCAAAGGAAUUGACGGGGACUCACACAAGCGGUGGAGGAUGUUCUUUAAUUCGAAAAUACGCGAAGAACCUUACCCAGACUUGACAUGGACUUGAUCGCUUAUGAAAGUAAGUUUCUACUUCGGUAGCAGGUUCACAGGUGUUGCAUGGCUGUCGUCAGCUCGUGUCGUGAGAUGUCGGGUUAAGUCCCUUAACGAGCGCAACCCUUGCCACUAAUUGCCAACAUGUAAUGAUGGGGACUUUAGUGGGACUGCCGGUGUUAAACCGGAGGAAGGUGGGGACGAAGUCAAGUCAUCAUGGCCCUUACGUCUGGGGCUAGAAACGUCCUACAAUGGGAAGAACAAUGAGUAGCGAGACCGCGAGGUGGAGCAAAUCUGUUAAAUCUUCCCCAAGUUCGGAUUGCAGGCUGAAAUUCGCCUGCAUGAAGUUGGAAUCGCUAGUAAUCGCGGAUCAGCAUGCCGCGGUGAAUAUGUUCCUGAGUCUUGUACACACCGCCCGUCAAGCCACCCGAAUUGGGAGUAUCUUAAGGCAUGUACCUAACCGCAAGGAGGGAAGUGCCAAAGGUAAGUCCAGUGAGGGGGACUAAGUCGUAACAAGGUA